rnacentral:lncRNA from 10 species
GCUGCAGUAAAUCAUAGCUGUUGAGUAUGACAGAAUGCUGAGACCUGAGUCUUCUCAGCAAAUCGUCAAACCUGGGGGUGUUCUUGAGGAUCCCAAGACAGUCAUUCAUAACAAUUUCUAAAAUCAUGUACAUCUGUCCAAAAAAGCCCAGGUAGGCCAGGUGCGGUGGCUCACGCCUGUAAUCCCAGCACUUUGGGAGGCCGAGGCGGGUGGAUCAUGAAGUCAGGAGGUGGAGGCCAUCCUGGCCAACAUGGUGAAAUCCCACUACUACUAAAAAUACAAAAAUUAGCUGGGUGUGGUCGCAGGCACCUGUAGUCCCAGCUACUCAGGAGGCUGAGGCAGGAGAAUCGCUUGAACCCGGGAGGCAGAGGCUGCUGUGAGCCAAGAUCACGCCACUGCACACCAGCAUGGGUGACAGAGUGAGACUCCAUCUCAAAACAAACAAACAAAAAAAGCCCAGGUAGAUUAUCUUUGAGGUCAAGGUAUGUCAUACAUGGUACCACCUAUACGCACAGCUUCAUGGUAAACAUUCUGUGAGGGAACCAAAAAUUGCAAUAAAGGCUGGGUGUGGUGGCUCAUGCCUGUAAUGCCAGCACUUCGGGAGGCCGAGGCGGGUGGAUCACCUGAGGUCAGGAGUGUGAGACCAGCCUGGCCAACAUGGUGAAACCCCGUGUCUACAAAAAAUACAAAAAUUAGCCGGGCAUGGUGGCCCAUGCCUGUAAUCCCAGCUACUUGGGAGGCUGAGGAUAGAGACUUGAAUACAGAUACAGAUUAUGGGGGAAAAAUCUGGUUAUCAGAGACAAGUUAAAGACUAGGCGAGGAAGUAUGACAGAGAGCCUAAAAAAGACUGGGCAGGAGGUAGGAAAAUGUGUCCAAUAACAAAAGGCAAGAGUGAUCCUGGAAGAGAGGUGACUCCUUCCUGAGGAUACAACAAGGCAUAGAGAGCUAGAGAAUUUUUUUUUUUUUUGAGAUGGAGUCUCGCUCUGUUGCCCAGGCUGGAGUGCAGUGGCACGAUCUCAGCUCAGUGCAGAGAGCUAGGGAAUUUUACAAACAUUCCAUGGAGAACAUGACUCUGAAAAAUCUGCAGAUCACUCUCAGUUGUAAGAUCUGUUCAUAGAAAUAUUGGUGUAGCACAACUCAGAAGACUGUGGGCUUUCUAUUCCCCCAGAUAGUUUAACAUUUCUAUUCAAAUGUCAAGACAAACCACCAGAGAACCAUGACUUUGGAAUAUAGUUGUCUAUUCUCUGAGAGUCUU